AUUGAACGCUGGCGGCAGGCCUAACACAUGCAAGUCGAGCGGUAGAGAGGAGCUUGCUUCUCUUGAGAGCGGCGGACGGGUGAGUAAUGCCUAGGAAUCUGCCUGGUAGUGGGGGAUAACGUUCGGAAACGGACGCUAAUACCGCAUACGUCCUACGGGAGAAAGUGGGGGAUCUUCGGACCUCACGCUAUCAGAUGCGCCUAGGUCGGAUUAGCUAGUUGGUGAGGUAAAGGCUCACCAAGGCGACGAUCCGUAACUGGUAUGAGAGGAUGAUCAGUCACACUGGAACUGAGACACGGUCCAGACUCCUACGGGAGGCAGAAGUGGGGAAUAUUGGACAAUGGGCGCAAGCCUGAUUCAGCCAUGCCGCGUGUGUGAAGAAGGUCUUCGGAUUGUAAAGCACUUUAAGUUGGGAGGAAGGUCAGUAGCUUAAUACGUUGCUGAUUUGACGUUACCGACAGAAUAAGCACCGGCUAACUCUGUGCCAGCAGCCGCGGUAACAC
rnacentral:rRNA from 1 species